AGUGAACGCUGGCGGCGUGCCUAAUACAUGCAAGUCGAACGGAGAUUAAGUAGCUUGCUAUUUAAUCUUAGUGGCGCACGGGUGAGUAAUAUAUAGCUAACUUGCCCAUUACUAAGGGACAACAGUUGGAAACGACUGCUAAUACCUUAUACUCCGUAUCUAUAUAAGUAGAUACGGGAAAGUUUUUCGGUAAUGGAUAGGGCUAUAUCGUAUCAGCUAGUUGGUAAGGUAAUGGCUUACCAAGGCUAUGACGCGUAACUGGUCUGAGAGGAUGAUCAGUCACACUGGAACUGAGACACGGUCCAGACUCCUACGGGAGGCAGCAGUAGGGAAUAUUGCUCAAUGGGGGAAACCCUGAAGCAGCAACGCCGCGUGGAGGAUGACACUUUUCGGAGCGUAAACUCCUUUUCUUGGGAAAGAAUUAUGAC
rnacentral:rRNA from 1 species